ACCCAUUCCUUUUGCUUACAAAAGAAAUAUCAUGGAGUUAAACUGUAAGUUUCCAUGUUCGUUCAAUGUAACUGAAUUAUUAGAUGUUGCCACUUAUUAAGAAUAGUUUGUAGGUUCGUUGUCAUUAUUGUGAAUUUUCAUGUCUUAUAUUUGUUGCUUCUGCAGGUGUUAUAUCAAGGUAUCACCAUGGCGAGAUCCCCUUUGCUGCUAACCAGGAAGUUGAGAAUCAUGAAGUGAGAGCACUCUGAAGUUUGAUGUGCACUUGACGCUGGACUUCCCCUGUUGAGUUCGAAUUUGAUUCUGCUAAUUCUGAUGUAGUGCCAGCAUGUAGAAGCUACAACAUCUAUGCUGAUGUUCGUAAAUUUCCUUCUUGGUUUAUCUUCAAGUUCCUGCAAAUUGGUAUAGGGUGCAGUGCGCUGGCUCAUGGCCUUGCUGCCCAGGCGCAUCAGAUUAGUAUUAGUAAUCUAUGGAUGGGAAAUGUCCCUCCAUUGUUGAGUUGGCUUGUAAUGACACUAUAACUCUGAUUCCGUAUGACCAUUAAAAAAAACUGAUCUGUGCCCACUUACGUUGACGGAAUGUUUCUUGUGUAUGUUAAAACUGAAAAAUGUCUGUUUCAU
rnacentral:lncRNA from 1 species